GGGCCCCUCUCUGUCGCUCGCGGCCGCCCCACCUCCACCGUCGGUUCUGUACCUCUUGCCGCGUCUUGGCCACAGGGGCCUACGUGGCCGUACGCUGUUGGUGCCUCGUCCGUCCCGUCCUCUGAUCCCUGGGGCUGCACCCUGGUACAUCUCGCUUCCCCAGCCCGCCUUGGCCCCGCUCUGUUGACCUUUGCGCCUUCUGUCCACUGAUGUUGUCGCGUGCUGGACCAGGAGGAGCGCCUGUGCCCCAGGCGCCCCUGCCCGCCCAUGGCAGUGUGCUCCUCUGAGUGUGCACGGGUCACCUGCUGGCUACCGUGCCUAUACCGCCGCCCGCCUGGGCCGGGGGAUGGAGGUUCUUCCUGAUUUCUGUUUAAGAAUCCUGAUGUGGCAGCUCUUACCAGUGUAGGGUAAGGGAGUUAGAGGCAGCCAGGUUCGGGAAAAGAAGGACACUGGCACUUUAUGGAACAGAUUCACCUUUACUGAGGCAAGAAGGGGCAGCAGUCAGAUUAGUGAGCUGCUGCACUAACCCAGGAAAAGAGGGGUUUCAUCCAGAAGCGGAGAAGAAAUAGCCCUGAGAUUAAAAAAUUAAGAACCAGCCAGAUGAAGAGACUUCGUUGUUGGCCACAUAAUAGGGUGCACCCUAGUGGCUCAACUGAAGAUCUCCCUGAGGAGCAGCUUGAGGAGCGAUCCAUUUCAACGUUGGAGGAAGAGGCUCUGCCCUACUCCAUAGCGCAUGAACAAGCCAGUGAACACGCUCCCCAGGAGGACAUGGCGGUGGAACUGUCCCAGGACCAGGCUGCGGAAGAGCCUCUGGACACUGUGAACGAAUCUGGGGAAGCCAAUGAACAUGCUCCCCAGGAGCACCUGGUGUUGGAACCGCCCCAGGCCGGGGCUGAGGAACCCCUCUGCAUCCCCCUGGAGGCAGCCAGGGCAGCCAGUGAACACGGUUUCACUGAGGACCUGCCAGUCAACCCAACUUGUGACAGCACCGAAGAGACUCCAUGUGUCUCCAAGGAAAGUUGGUUUUUUUUUUUCCUGGUCUAAGAUAGAAAUAUUGUUUCCUUUCUUUUUCAGUAGAAUUAAGUUAUGAGUCUUUGAAGGUGUUCGCUUCAGAUAGAGACAAUUCCCUUGGUUGGGAUAAUGUGGAGUGAGACACUUAUUACCAAAUCAUGACGCCUCAGUCCACAGGAUAUUAAAAUUGUUAGCAUCCAUUACACCCUGUCGAGUACAGAUUUCUCUCUCCUGCAGCAAGAUUUCCUCUAAGAAAAGAAUUCUGCAAUUUCCAACCCAAAGGAUCUUGGAAGCUCCAUCCUCCAGGCAAAGGCCUUGCCUUUCAUCCUGAGUAUGUGUGUUCUGAUAUUGCUGAACUCCACCGCUGUUCCUCAUCAGGAACUGUCACCAAAUGAACCAAGGAUUGUGCAUCUAUGUGAUCUUAUCCUCAUAGCGUCUUCUCUUCUGUACUUGCAGGUGGCCCUUUCAGAAUGUGAAAGCGCCUCUCCACAUGACUGCUGCCCUCAGACACCAGAUGAGUACAUGGCGGAUAAUGAAGAUUCAGAGACAGUGAGCAAGAAUACUGAGAUGUCAGACAAUUCUCUAAUCAUCGCUUUGGAGAAUGGCAAAAAUGUCAUCAGUGAUGAUGAAAAAGACCAGGAGGAGCAAGUGUGAACGUGGGGCCUGAGUUGAAAAGGCUCUGAUCUGAAUCCCUGAAGACCUGGACCUGGACCCCAUCCCGGACCCCAGAAGCGGUGGAGCCCACACAGCACCAGGAGCCUCAUCUGGACCAGAUCAGGGGAGGCCUCACUGCUGCUCUCCUGAGGGCCUCGUGUAGCACAGCUUCAGUUGUUUUGUCGUGUAGAUUUAGUGUUAGUUUAAUCCACAGUUUUAUCUACAAGUUCUGUAUGUAUCUGUAUGUUCAAUGUUUAUAGGUAAGGUUUUUCAUUAAAUUUUUAAAA
ensembl:lncRNA